UACGAAGGGGGCUAGCGUUGUUCGGAUUUACUGGGCGUAAAGCGCACGUAGGCGGAUCGUUAAGUCGGGGGUGAAAUCCUGGAGCUCAACUCCAGAACUGCCUUUGAUACUGGGAAUCUCGAGUCCGGGAGAGGUGAGUGGAACUGCGAGUGUAGAGGUGAAAUUCGUAGAUAUUCGCAAGAACACCAGUGGCGAAGGCGGCUCACUGGCCCGGUACUGACGCUGAGGUGCGAAAGCGUGGGGAGCAAACAGG
rnacentral:rRNA from 1 species